rnacentral:pre_miRNA from 1 species
AUGACCUAUGAAUUGACAGCCAGUGGAUGUACAGUCUGCCUGUCAAUUCUGUAGGCCACAG